rnacentral:lncRNA from 1 species
UCAUCUCAAUACAACUCACUUCAAAUUUAAACCCCUUUCUUACAAACAACACUUUCUAUUUAAGCAAUUUGUUUCAGUUUAUUGCAUUUCAAACAAAUCUUUUUUUCGUUUUAUCACUCAACCUUUUUCAAAACAUUUUUUAUUCUUUUCAUAAAAGAACUGUUAUAAUUUUUUCCUUAGCAGUCAGACUAAAGCUUGGAGCAUCCGAACUAGGAUCAAUUCAACUAACGUCUACACACUUCUAGGAUACGAUUAUAACACCGUUCACUAAAAACAAC